CCCUUAGAUGUUCUGGGCCGCACGCGCGCUACACUGAUGCAUUCAACAAGCCUAGCCUUGACCGAGAGGUCCGGGUAAUCUUUGAAACUGCAUCGUGAUGGGGCUAGAUUAUUGCAAUUAUUAAUCUUCAACGAGGAAUGCCUAGUAAGCGUGAUUCAUCAAAUCGCGUUGAUUACGUCCCUGCCCUUUGUACACACCGCCCGUCGCUCCUCCCGAUUGAAUGUGUUGGUGAGGAGCUCGGAUUGGCAGCAGUUGGUGGUUCGCCACCGGCUAUUGCUGAGAAGUCCUCCAAACCGCCCCAUUUAGAGGAAGGAGAAGUCGUAACA
rnacentral:rRNA from 1 species